rnacentral:rRNA from 1 species
UAGGGAAUCUUCCACAAUGGACGCAAGCCUGAUGGAGCAACGCCGCGUGAGUGAAGAAGGUUUUCGGAUCGUAAAGCUCUGUUGUUGGUGAAGAAGGAUAGAGGCAGUAACUGGUCUUCAUUUGACGGCAAUCAACCAGAAAGUCACGGCUAACUAAGUGCCAGCAGCCGCGGAAAUACGUAGGUGGCAAGCGUUGUCCGGAUUUAUUGGGCGUAACGCGAGCGCAGGCGGAAUGAUAAGUCUGAUGUGAAAGCCCACGGCUCAGCCGGGGGACUGAAUCGGAAACUGUACUGCUUGAGUGCAGAAGAGGAGAGGGGAAUUCAAUGUGUAGCGGUGGAAUGCGUAGAGAUAUGGAAGAAAACCAGUGGCGAGGGCGGCGCUCUGGUCUGCAACUGACGCUGAGGUUCGAAAGGAUGGGUAGCGGACAGG